rnacentral:snRNA from 1 species
AUGCUUGCUUUGGCAGCAUAUAUACUAAAAUCGGAAUGAUACCAGGAUAAGCAUGGCCCCUGCACAAGGAUGACAUGCAAAUUCAUGAAGCGUUCCAUUAAAAA